rnacentral:rRNA from 1 species
CAGGGAAUCUUGCGCAAUGGGCGAAAGCCUGACGCAGCAACGCCGCGUGGGGGAUGAAGGCCUUCGGGUUGUAAACCCCUUUCAGGAGGGAAGAAAUUGACGGUACCUCCAGAAGAAGGACCGGCCAACUACGUGCCAGCAGCCGCGGUAAUACGUAGGGGGCGAGCGUUGUCCGGAAUUAUUGGGCGUAAAGAGCGUGUAGGCGGCCCGGUAAGUCCGCCGUGAAAACCUGGGGCUCAACCCUGGGCGUGCGGUGGAUACUGCUGGGCUAGAGGAUGGUAGAGGCGAGUGGAAUUCCCGGUGUAGCGGUGAAAUGCGCAGAGAUCGGGAGGAACACCAGUAGCGAAGGCGGCUCGCUGGGCCAUUCCUGACGCUGAGACGCGAAAGCGUGGGGAGCGAACAGGAUUAGAUACCCCCGUAGUCC